rnacentral:rRNA from 1 species
AUUGAACGCUGGCGGCAGGCCUAACACAUGCAAGUCGAGCGGAUGAAGGGGGCUUGCUCCUGGAUUCAGCGGCGGACGGGUGAGUAAUGCCUAGGAAUCUGCCUGGUAGUGGGGGAUAACGUCCGGAAACGGGCGCUAAUACCGCAUACGUCCUGAGGGAGAAAGUGGGGGAUCUUCGGACCUCACGCUAUCAGAUGAGCCUAGGUCGGAUUAGCUAGUUGGUGGGGUAAAGGCCUACCAAGGCGACGAUCCGUAACUGGUCUGAGAGGAUGAUCAGUCACACUGGAACUGAGACACGGUCCAGACUCCUACGGGAGGCAGCAGUGGGGAAUAUUGGGCAAUGGGCGAAAGCCUGAUCCAGCCAUGCCGCGUGUGUGAAGAAGGUCUUCGGAUUGUAAAGCACUUUAAGUUGGGAGGAAGAGCAGUAAGUUAAUACCUUGCUGUUUUGACGUUACCAACAGAAUAAGCACCGGCUAACUUCGUG